CAAAAGUCAGCGCCGCUGCCAUUGGUCACCGGUGAGGAACAGCUUGAUGACACAUCCGAAAAAUAGGAAGUGGCCACUACGGAAGCUGUUCUGGUCCAGACAGGCUGCCAGUUUGGAGUCGUUUGCUGCGCGGAGGGAAUGAAUGGGCGCUGGGAACACGCCCGCGAGGUGGGGACGCGCCGGCCGUAGCGAGGGCCUUAGCGUGUGAGUGGCCGGGGUCUGGUCGCUUCCCCGCAGCAUGGAGGACGAUGCACCAGUGAUCUACGGGCUGGAGUUCCAGGCACGUGCUUUAACACCUCAAACUGCAGAAACAGAUGCCAUUCGGUUUCUGGUCGGGACACAGUCUCUUAAAUAUGAUAAUCAGAUCCACAUCAUAGAUUUUGACGAUGAAAACAACAUUAUAAAUAAAAAUGUCCUCCUCCAUCAAGCGGGUGAAAUCUGGCACAUUAGCGCUAGCCCUGCAGACAGAGGCGUGCUGGCGACCUGCUACAACAGAACUUCAGACAGCAAAGUCCUGACAUGUGCAGCCGUGUGGAGGAUGCCGAAGGAAUUGGAAUCAGGCAGCCACGAGUCCCCCGAUGAUUCAUCCAGCACGGCGCAGACCCUGGAGCUGCUCUGUCACCUUGACAACACAGCCCACAGCAACAUGGCCUGUGUCGUGUGGGAGCCAAUGGGAGAUGGGAAGAAAAUCAUUUCAUUGGCCGAUAACCAUAUCCUGCUGUGGGAUUUACAGGAAAGCUCAAGCCAGGCUGUGCUGGCCAGCUCAGCCUCCCUGGGAGGGAAGGGACAACUGAAGUUCACCUCGGGACGGUGGAGUCCGCAUCACAACUGCACCCAGGUGGCCACAGCGAACGACACCACCCUCCGUGGCUGGGACACCCGGAGCAUGAGCCAGAUCUAUUGCAUAGAGAAUGCCCACGGACAGCUGGUGCGGGAUCUUGACUUCAAUCCCAACAAGCAGUACUACUUGGCCAGCUGCGGAGACGACUGUAAGGUGAAGUUCUGGGACACCCGAAACGUCACCGAACCCGUGAAGACCCUGGAGGAGCACUCCCACUGUUUUCAGCCAACAUUUAGUCUUCCCUGUCUGUCUGUUGGGACUCGAGAGAAACCUACAGCAAACCCACCCUCAGCGGAAAACUGCCUUCUGUCAGGCCCUGGGACUGGGGCCGGUUGCCUGGCAGUGUCUCACGGUGUGGAACGUCCGUUACAACCACUCUCACGACCAGCUGGUCCUCACUGGCAGCAGUGACAGCAGAGUCAUCCUUUCCAACAUGGUGUCCAUCUCGUCGGAGCCCUUCGGCCACUUGGUAGACGACGAUGACAUCAGUGACCAGGAGGACCACCGUUCCGAGGAGAAGAGCAAGGAGCCCCUGCAGGACAACGUCAUCGCCACCUACGAGGAGCACGAGGACAGCGUCUACGCUGUGGACUGGUCCUCGGCCGACCCGUGGCUGUUUGCCUCCCUGAGCUAUGACGGGAGGCUCGUGAUCAACAGGGUGCCCAGGGCCCUGAAGUACCACAUCCUGCUGUGACUCCCGGGCCUGAGUUAUCCAGGUUCCACUGGGUGGUUAUGCUCUUGGCAGGUUCCCAAACAGUCACAGCUCUUUGGCGGUGACUCAUUUUCCAGGUGCUCCCUCUCUGGGAGAGCCGCUGUCCCCUUCCUCUAGCAGCAGCGUUUAUGAAUGGGGUGAAUGGAGCUGUUGUCGACGGCACAGCUGACGCCUGAACCCAGCCGCUGUCGGCAGAGACGGAGCCCCACAUUGUUAUGUGAAUAACAACAUUUUCUGUUUUAAGGGUGUUAGGAGUUUCACUUUUUAAAAAAAUGUUCCUGCAAUAGUAACUCUUCUUUCUCUUCAGAGUAAACAAUGAAAUAAAAUAAAUCCACGCUGCA